rnacentral:misc_RNA from 1 species
AAAAAAGGGAAAAAAAAACACUUGACAAUAUUAAUUAUUAGUGUAACAUAAUAUGAAAUUUGAAUAGAAUAGAAUGCCAAAAAGAGAAGCACUUUGACAAAAAAUAGGAUAAAUACUUGGCAAUAUUAUGUUAACCUAUUUCAAAUCUUAGCUUUAUAAUAUUUAUAUAAAUACAGAUGUAGAUAUAGAGAUAUGUCCCUUGAAUGUCUAACACUAUGUUUGUAGGUCUAUCUUUGCAAAGUGUGUGUUUGUGUGUGAGCACUGAAAACCAUACCUCGCACUAAAAUGCUCCUACGAUGCAUAUCGCCAUUUUGUGGAAUGGGUAUACGAACAUUAGUAUGCUGGUCAGCAGCUAGUUGCACCUGAAUAACUAACAUUUUACUAAAAAUAGACGCACGAAGAAGCAAAGAUCCAUGUGCUCCAUUUUUUUCAAGCAGCAAUACAGAUGGAGUGAUGGCGUAUAGAUACUUGGCUGUAUCCUUGUGGCCGUUUUUACAUGCCACUAUGACUGGGAGGAGAUCUUGUUCUCCUUGAAUGCUAACCAACUCCUUGUUCUUUUGUAUCAUGCAUUCGGCAAUUCUCGUGGCUCCAAUACCAGCAGCUAUUGUAAGAGCUGUAUCAUCAUUGUUAUCACGUACUUCCAAGUCUUCUUUUGUCAUGUUCUCCACCAACAACUCCACCAUAUUCAAUUUUCCAGUUAGAGUUGCAAGAUGAAGUGCUGUGCUACCAAAAACUGUAAGCUUUUCGCGUCCCGCAUGUGGAAGCUGUCGAAGGAAGUCUCUCACAGCAUUUAAAUCACCUUCCUCUAUAGCCUUGCAUAGACGACGGAAUUGAACGUAAACAUGGACCUCUGUCUCUUGCAGGCUUGUCGACAGGCGGGGGCGUACAAAGUAUCCCAUCAAAUCCUUGCUGAACUGAUUUCCUUAAUCUGGGAAAGUACACAUCAGACAUGCAUAAGAUGACAAGAUCUUACUAUGUGUGCUACUCCAAUAGAACGAUUCAACCUUUAUAUAGAAAGAAAAGGAGAAGAAAAUAAGCAAAAUGGUUUCAUCAUGAAAUCCCAAAUUGUCUUUUCACUUUU